GAUGAACGCUGGCGGCGUGCCUAAUACAUGCAAGUCGAGCGAACAGACGAGGAGCUUGCUCCUCUGACGUUAGCGGCGGACGGGUGAGUAACACGUGGAUAACCUACCUAUAAGACUGGGAUAACUUCGGGAAACCGGAGCUAAUACCGGAUAAUAUAUUGAACCACAUGGUUCAAUAGUGAAAGACGGUUUUGCUGUCACUUAUAGAUGGAUCCGCGCCGCAUUAGCUAGUUGGUAAGGUAACGGCUUACCAAGGCAACGAUGCGUAGCCGACCUGAGAGGGUGAUCGGCCACACUGGAACUGAGACACGGUCCAGACUCCUACGGGAGGCAGCAGUAGGGAAUCUUCCGCAAAGGGCGAAAGCUUGACGGAGCAACGCCGCGUGAGUGAUGAAGGUCUUCGGAUCGUAAAACUCUGUUAUUAGGGAAGAACAAAUGUGUAAGUAACUAUGCACGUCUUGACGGUACCUAAUCAGAAAGCCACGGCUAACUACGUG
rnacentral:rRNA from 1 species